rnacentral:rRNA from 1 species
CAGCCCCGCGGGAAAACGGAGGGUGCAAGCGUUAAUCGGAAUUACUGGGCGUAAAGCGCACGCAGGCGGUCUGUCAAGUCAGAUGUGAAAUCCCCGGGCUUAACCUGGGAACUGCAUUUGAAACUGGCAGGCUAGAGUCUUGUAGAGGGGGGUAGAAUUCCAGGUGUAGCGGUGAAAUGCGUAGAGAUCUGGAGGAAUACCGGUGGCGAAGGCGGCCCCCUGGACAAAGACUGACGCUCAGGUGCGAAAGCGUGGGGAGCAAACAGGAUUAGAUACCCGUGUAGUCCCUGUCUCUUAUACA